rnacentral:tRNA from 1 species
GGGUCUGUAGCUCAGUUGGUUAGAGCGCACCCCUGAUAAGGGUGAGGUCGAUGGUCCGAUUCCAUUCAGACCCACCA